CCUAUAUAAUGCUACCGAAUUUCAUGUAUUGUGUAUUACAUAUCAAAUUCGACAUAAAGAAAGUUUCAUAAAAAUAAUAUAAGAACUUACUAAUCGCAUAAAGUCCAGUAUCAUGCACCAUAACCAGUAUUUCAAAUUAUGGACCACAUCACAUGAUGCGGUCGCAAUAUUGUGGUUUUUGUGACUACCACAACUGCAUCACACUGCAAUUGCAGUGUGAUAUCGAAUCAUAGUGAUGUGAUCACAACAGGCCACAAUGCAACCACAUCGGGCCGCAUCAGACCACAUCGAUGUCAAAAAUAUGUGUUUACUCACAAAAUAAUUCACACUGCAACAGCCGCAUCGUAGUGGUCGCAAUCUGCGUCGCAAUAACCGCAACUGCAUAAGUAAGAUCAUAUAGUAUCAUGUUUUUAUAUCCCAACCAAGUGCCAAAAGGAUAAGAAAUGGAAGAACUAAAUCUGGUUUUGUUAGAUACAACUCCAUGAAGAAGCUGAAAAACCAAUUAAAAUGUUUGGUAUUGGAUAGAAAACAGUUGGGGUUUGCAAAUCAAAAUAUCGAAAGCCCAAAAGGUAAGAAAAUAUUUGCAACAAAAGAGUCAUGUACCAUGAGAAGCAGAAUAAGAGUCACCACCAUGGGAAGCAGAAUAAGAUUUGGAAAACUAUACAAAAACCCAAAUAACCUAGCUUUAUGUUCAAAACAAUGGAUGUUGAAACAAAAUGGCUAAAAUGGACUGAAGUGGCAUGAUUGCAAGUUCCUCAAAGCCU
rnacentral:lncRNA from 1 species